rnacentral:misc_RNA from 1 species
UAAGCUUUAGAUCUUUACUAGUUCCAUAAUUUCAACUGAAAAUUCAAUUUCAAAGGUAGAUAUGGAGACCAUCGAUUUCAAGUCUUUUGUGAAAAAAAUGAAUUCCAUGGUAGCCAAUUCUCUUGCGACGGACGGCAUCUCUAUAUCAGAUUCAAACAUGAUAUCACGACUUUUAGCUAUUUGUGAAAAGAAUGGAUAUUCAUUCAUCAAGCAAACAAUAUCAUCAUUCAUCAAGCAAACAAUAUCAUCAUUCAUCAAGCAAACAAUAUCA